GACGAGCGCUGGCGGCGUGCUUAACACAUGCAAGUCGAACGAAGAGCGAUGGAAGCUUGCUUCUAUCAAUCUUAGUGGCGAACGGGUGAGUAACGCGUAAUCAACCUGCCCUUCAGAGGGGGACAACAGUUGGAAUCGACUGCUAAUACCGCAUACGAUCUAAUCUCGGCAUCGAGGAUAGAUGAAAGGUGGCCUCUACAUGUAAGCUAUCACUGAAGGAGGGGAUUGCGUCUGAUUAGCUAGUUGGAGGGGUAACGGCCCACCAAGGCGAUGAUCAGUAGCCGGUCUGAGAGGAUGAACGGCCACAUUGGGACUGAGACACGGCCCAGACUCCUACGGGUGGCAGCAGUGGGGAAUCUUCCGCAAUGGACGAAAGUCUGACGGAGCAACGCCGCGUGAGUGAUGACGGCCUUCGGGUUGUAAAGCUCUGUUAAUCGGGACGAAAGGCCUUCUUGCGAAUAGUGAGAAGGAUUGACGGUACCGGAAUAGAAAGCCACGGCUAACUACGUG
rnacentral:rRNA from 1 species